CCUACGGGAUGCUGCAGUGGGGAAUAUUGGACAAUGGGCGAAAGCCUGAUCCAGCCAUGCCGCGUGUGUGAAGAAGGCCUUCGGGUUGUAAAGCACUUUCAGUGGGGAAGAAAGCCUUGGGGCUAAUACCCUCGAGGAAGGACAUCACCCACAGAAGAAGCACCGGCUAACUCCGUGCCAGCAGCCGCGGUAAUACGGAGGGUGCGAGCGUUAAUCGGAAUUACUGGGCGGAAAGCGCGCGUAGGCGGUCUGAUAAGCCGGUUGUGAAAGCCCCGGGCUCAACCUGGGAACGGCAUCCGGAACUGUCAGGCUAGAGUGCAGGAGAGGAAGGUAGAAUUCCCGGUGUAGCGGUGAAAUGCGUAGAGAUCGGGAGGAAUACCAGUGGCGAAGGCGGCCUUCUGGACUGACACUGACGCUGAGGUGCGAAAGCGUGGGUAGCAAACAGGAUUAGAUACCCCGGUAGUC
rnacentral:rRNA from 1 species